AUGUCGUGUAGAUGGGGAUUAGUGACUG
rnacentral:piRNA from 1 species